rnacentral:rRNA from 1 species
CCUACGGGAGGCAGCAGUGGGGAAUAUUGCACAAUGGGGGAAACCCUGAUGCAGCGAAGCCGCGUGAGUGAAGAAGUAUUUCGGUAUGUAAAGCCCUAUCAGCAGGGAAGAAACCCACCCUCCGGGGUGGCUGACGGUACCUGACUAAGAAGCCCCGGCUAACUACGUGCCAGCAGCCGCGGUAAUACGUAGGGGGCAAGCGUUAUCCGGACUUACUGGGUGGGAAGGGAGCGUAGGUGGCAAGGCAAGUCAGUUGGUAAAACCCGGGGCCCAACCCCGGUAGUGCAUUUGAAACUGUCGGGCUAGAGUGCAGGAGAGGUAGGUGGAAUGCGUGGUGUAGCGGUGAAAUGCAUAGAUAUUAGGAGGAACACCAGUGGCGAAGGCGGCUUACUGGACUGUAACUGACGCUGAGGCUCGAAAGCGUGGGGAGCGAACAGGAUUAGAUACCCUAGUAGUC